rnacentral:rRNA from 1 species
ACGAUAAUGACGGUACUUUAGGAGGAAGCUCCGGCUAACUACGUGCCAGCAGCCGCGGUAAUACGUAGGGAGCGAGCGUUGUCCGGAAUUACUGGGCGUAAAGGGAGCGUAGGCGGGAUCGCAAGUCAGAUGUGAAAUACAUGGGCUCAACCCAUGGGCUGCAUUUGAAACUGCGGUUCUUGAGUGAAGUAGAGGUAAGCGGAAUUCCUGGUGUAGCGGUGAAAUGCGUAGAUAUCAGGAGGAACACCGGUGGCGAAGGCGGCUUACUGGGCUUUUACUGACGCUGAGGCUCGAAAGCGCGGGGAGCAAACAGGAUUAGAUACCCUGCUAGUCCACGCUGUAAACGAUGAUUACUAGGUGUGGGGGGACUGACCCCUUCCGUGCCGCAGUUAACACAAUAGGUAAUCCACCUGGGGAGUACGGCCGCAAGGUUGAAACUCAAAGGAAUUGACGGGGGCCCGCACAAGCAGUGGAGUAUGUGGUUUAAUUCGAAGCAACGCGAAGAACCUUACCAGGUCUUGACAUCGUAUGCAUACCAUAGAGAUAUGGGAAAUCCCUUCGGGGACAUAUAGACAGGUGGUGCAUGGUUGUCGUCAGCUCGUGUCGUGAGAUGUUGGGUUAAGUCCCGCAACGAGCGCAACCCUUACCUUUAGUUGCUACGCAAGAGCACUCUAAAGGGACUGCCGUUGACAAAACGGAGGAAGGUGGGGAUGACGUCAAAUCAUCAUGCCCCUUAUGACCUGGGCUACACACGUACUACAAUGGCAAUUAACAAAGAGAAGCAAGACAGUGAUGUGGAGCGAAUCUCAAAAAAUUGUCCC